GGUAAUGUGGCUCAGUGGUAGAGUGCUUGCUUCCCAUGUAUGAAGUCCUGGGUUUGAUUCCUCAGUACCA
rnacentral:tRNA from 1 species